rnacentral:lncRNA from 1 species
GUUCUCGGGAACAGCGGCUCGGCCUGCAAGGCUGUUGUUUCAAGAAAUGAAAAUGAAGGGCGCCCUGGAAUAGGUUCGCCGAAGAGAGAGCUUGCAGGCCUCUGGGAAGCAAGCCAUCGUGUGGCAGAGGCCCAGGUGGCAAGGAACCAAGGGCGGCUUCUGGCCAACAGCCAGCGAGGACCUGAGACCGUAGCCCAACACCCCUCCAGGAACUGAAUUUUGCCAGCAACCAGUGAGUGACCUUGGAAGUGGAUCCUUCCCCCGAAAGCCCGGCUUUCAGCUCAGAGAAUGGAAAAAUAUCUCUUCCUAAAGACACAGAGAAACAUAAACAAACCUGACCAAUAGAAGGACCAAAACCUCUGCACAGUGCCUCACCCCUCGGAGGAAUUAACAAAAAUGUGAAGGUUAUUCGUUGAACCAAUAAUCUCUGAAAUUUUUGGAGUUCCAUGAAGCUUGCACCAACUAUUAUCCCUGAGAUGACCUUGGCUGUGGAACCCAGAUUCUGUUCAGGGCCGAGAGCGCCACCUGGUGAUUCCAGUUUACGGAGGCUGGUGGGACCUCAACCCCAGCUGGUAUCCAGGCUCUUGACACCAUCUGGAGAAGGAAUUCAAGAGUGUGUCAGAAAAUGAUGAAAGUACAAAGAUUUAUUGCAAAGCGAAAAAUACACACUCAAGAAAGGGGAGUAUGGGUGGACUCAAGACAGAGUCCGAUGGGACUUGGGGUUUCUACCUUUUGGGUUUCUUUUUUUUUUUUUUUUGAUAUGGAGUCUCGCACUGUUGCCCAGGCUGGAGCGCAGUGGCGU